CUGUUAGCUCAGUUGGUAGAGCAACUGACUCUUAAUCAGUGGGUCUAGGGUUCGAGUCCCU
rnacentral:tRNA from 4 species